rnacentral:rRNA from 1 species
UACGGAGGGUGCAAGCGUUAUCCGGAUUCACUGGGUUUAAAGGGUGCGUAGGUGGGUUGGUAAGUCAGUGGUGAAAUCUCCGAGCUUAACUCGGAAACUGCCAUUGAUACUAUCAAUCUUGAAUCAUCUGGAGGUAAGCGGAAUAUGUCAUGUAGCGGUGAAAUGCUUAGAUAUGACAUAGAACACCAAUUGCGAAGGCAGCUUACUACGGUGUAUGACACUGAGGCACGAAGCGUGGGGAUCAAACAGG